rnacentral:rRNA from 1 species
UACGUAGGUGGCAAGCGUUAUCCGGAUUUACUGGGUGUAAAGGGCGCGUAGGCGGGAUUGCAAGUCAGAUGUGAAAUGCCGGGGCUUAACCCUGGAGCUGCAUUUGAAACUGUGAUUCUUGAGUAUCGGAGAGGCAGGCGGAAUUCCUAGUGUAGCGGUGAAAUGCGUAGAUAUUAGGAGGAACACCAGCGGCGAAGGCGGCCUGCUGGACGACAACUGACGCUGAGGCGCGAAAGCGUGGGGAGCAAACAGG